CCUACGGGAGGCAGCAGUGGGGGAUAUUGCACAAUGGGGGAAACCCUGAUGCAGCAACGCCGCGUGUGGGAAGAAGGUUCUCGGAUUGGAAACCACUGUUCUUGGUGAAGAUAAUGACGGUAACUAAGGAGAAAGCUCCGGCUAACUACGUGCCAGCAGCCGCGGUAAUCCGUAGGGAGCAGGCGGUGUAUGGAUUUACUGGGUGUAAAGGGUGCGUAGGCGGUCUUGCAAGUCAGACGUGAAAACCACAGGCUCAACCUGUGGACUGCGUUUGAAACUGGGGGGCUUGAGUCCACGGAAAGCAGGCGGAAUUCGUCGUGUAGCGGUGAAAUGCUUAGAUAUGACGAAGAACCCCGAUUGCGAAGGCAGCUUGCUGCAGCGGAACUGACGCUGAUGCUCGAAAGCGCGGGUAUCGAACAGGAUUAGAUACCCCAGUAGUC
rnacentral:rRNA from 1 species